rnacentral:rRNA from 1 species
CAGAGGGGCAAGCGUUGUUCGGAAUUACUGGGCGUAAAGGGCGCGUAGGCGGCCCGCUAAGUCGAACGUGAAAUCCCCGGGCUCAACCCGGGAACUGCGUCCGAUACUGGUGGGCUUGAAUCCGGGAGAGGGAUGCGGAAUUCCAGGUGUAGCGGUGAAAUGCGUAGAUAUCUGGAGGAACACCGGUGGCGAAGGCGGCAUCCUGGACCGGUAUUGACGCUGAGGCGCGAAAGCCGGGGGAGCAAACGGGAUUAGAUACCCCGGUAGUCCUGGCCCUAAACGAUGAAUGCUUGGUGUGGCGGGUAUCGAUCCCUGCCGUGCCGAAGCUAACGCAUUAAGCAUUCCGCCUGGGGAGUACGGUCGCAAGGCUG